rnacentral:rRNA from 1 species
UACGUAGGGGGCAAGCGUUUGUCCGGAUUUAUUGGGCGUAAAGAGCGUGUAGGCGGCUUUACAGGUCCGUUGUGAAAACUCGAGGCUCAACCUCGAGACGCCGGGUGGAAACCGUAAAGCUAGAGUCCGGAAGAGGAGAGUGGAAUUCCUGGUGUAGCGGUGAAAUGCGCAGAUAUCAGGAGGAACACCCGUGGCGAAAGCGGCUCUCUGGGACGGUACUGACGCUGAGACGCGAAAGCGUGGGGAGCAAACAGG